rnacentral:rRNA from 1 species
CGAGUGGCGAACGGGUGAGUAAUGCAUCGGAACGUGCCAUUGAGUGGGGAUAACGUAGCGAAAGUUACGCUAAUACCGCAUAUUCUGUGAGCAGGAAGCAGGGGACCGCAAGGCCUUGCGCUCUUUGAGCGGCCGAUGUCAGAUUAGCUAGUUGGUGAGGUAAAGGCUUACCAAGGCGACGAUCUGUAGCGGGUCUGAGAGGAUGAUCCGCCACACUGGAACUGAGACACGGUCCAGACUCCUACGGGAGGCAGCAGUGGGGAAUUUUGGACAAUGGGCGCAAGCCUGAUCCAGCCAUGCCGCGUGAGUGAAGAAGGCCUUCGGGUUGUAAAGCUCUUUCGGCCGGGAAGAAAUCGUAUGGGUUAAUACCCUGUGUGGAUGACGGUACCGGAAUAAGAAGCACCGGCUAACUACGUG